UUUGGAGGGCAAGUCUGGUGCCAGCAGCCGCGGUAAUUCCAGCUCCAAUAGCGUAUAUUAAAGUUGUUGCCGUUAAAAAGCUCGUAGUUGAAUUUCGAGAUCAAAUUGUCGGUCGUGCCUCGGUACGUACUGGCAUUAUUGAUUUCUCCUUUCUGAAGAACCAUGAUGUCAUUAAUUUGGUGUCUUGGGGAAUCAGGACUGUUACUUUGAAAAAAUUAGAGUGUUUAAAGCAGGC
rnacentral:rRNA from 1 species